UACGAGGGGGGCGAGCGUUGUUCGGAAUUAUUGGGCGUAAAGGGUGCGUAGGCGGUUUGGUAAGUCUCGUGUGAAAUCUCCGGGCUCAACUCGGAGCCUGCACGAGAAACUGCCGGGCUUGAGUGUGGGAGAGGUGAGUGGAAUUCCUGGUGUAGCGGUGAAAUGCGUAGAUAUCAGGAGGAACACCUGUGGCGAAAGCGGCUCACUGGACCAUAACUGACGCUGAUGCACGAAAGCUAGGGGAGCAAACAGGAUUAGAA
rnacentral:rRNA from 1 species